ensembl:rRNA 5S_rRNA 5S ribosomal RNA
ACCAUACCACCCUGAACGCGCCCGAUCUCAUCUGAUCUCAGAAGCUAAGCAGGGUCAGGCCUGGUUAGUACUUGGAUGGGAGAAACUUUUCCCACCUCUUUCACUUAUUGUGAGAAGACAAAAGUGU